GACGAACGCUGGCGGCGUGCUUAACACAUGCAAGUCGAACGGAAAGGCCCUGCUUUUGUGGGGUGCUCGAGUGGCGAACGUGUGAGUAACACGUGAGUAACCUGCCCUUGACUUUGGGAUAACUUCAGGAAACUGGGGCUAAUACCGGAUAGGAGCUCCUGCUGCAUGGUGGGGGUUGGAAAGUUUCGGCGGUUGGGGAUGGACUCGCGGCUUAUCAGCUUGUUGGUGGGGUAGUGGCUUACCAAGGCUUUGACGGGUAGCCGGCCUGAGAGGGUGACCGGCCACAUUGGGACUGAGAUACGGCCCAGACUCCUACGGGAGGCAGCAGUGGGGAAUAUUGCACAAUGGGCGGAAGCCUGAUGCAGCAACGCCGCGUGCGGGAUGACGGCCUUCGGGUUGUAAACCGCUUUCGCCUGUGACGAAGCGUGAGUGACGGUAACGGGUAAAGAAGCACCGGCUAACUACGUG
rnacentral:rRNA from 1 species